rnacentral:rRNA from 1 species
UACGUAGGGUGCAAGCGUUUAAUCGGAAUUACUGGGCGUAAAGCGUGCGCAGGCGGCUAUGCAAGACAGAUGUGAAAUCCCCGGGCUCAACCUGGGAACUGCAUUUGUGACUGCAUAGCUAGAGUACGGUAGAGGGGGAUGGAAUUCCGCGUGUAGCAGUGAAAUGCGCAGAUAUCAGGAGGAACACCAAUGGCGAAGGCAGCACUCUGGGACGGUACUGACGCUGAGACGCGAAAGCGUGGGGAGCAAACAGG